GACGAACCGAGCGAACGUUGUUCGGAAUCACUGGGCUUAAAGGGCGCGUAGGCGGUCUGUCGCGUCGGAUGUGAAAACCCAGGGCUCAACCCUGGGCCUGCAUUCGAUACGGGCAGACUAGAGUUCGGUAGGGGAGACUGGAAUUCCUGGUGUAGCGGUGAAAUGCGCAGAUAUCAGGAGGAACACCGGUGGCGAAGGCGGGUCUCUGGGCCGAAACUGACGCUGAGGAGCGAAAGCGUGGGGAGCAAACAGG
rnacentral:rRNA from 1 species